rnacentral:hammerhead_ribozyme from 1 species
AUCCGGCUGACGAGUCCCAAAUAGAACGAAUCGCGCGACCUGGAU